GGCGGACGGGUGAGUAAUGUCUGGGAAACUGCCUGAUGGAGGGGGAUAACUACUGGAAACGGUAGCUAAUACCGCAUAACGUCGCAAGACCAAAGAGGGGGACCUUCGGGCCUCUUGCCAUCGGAUGUGCCCAGAUGGGAUUAGCUAGUAGGUGGGGUAACGGCUCACCUAGGCGACGAUCCCUAGCUGGUCUGAGAGGAUGACCAGCCACACUGGAACUGAGACACGGUCCAGACUCCUACGGGAGGCAGCAGUGGGGAAUAUUGCACAAUGGGCGCAAGCCUGAUGCAGCCAUGCCGCGUGUAUGAAGAAGGCCUUCGGGUUGUAAAGUACU
rnacentral:rRNA from 1 species